rnacentral:rRNA from 1 species
CCUACGGGAGGCUGCAGUGGGGAAUAUUGGGCAAUGGGCGCAAGCCUGACCCAGCAACGCCGCGUGAAGGAAGAAGGCUUUCGGGUUGUAAACUUCUUUUGUCAGGGACGAAGCAAGUGACGGUCCCUGACGCAUAAGCCACGGCUAACUACGUGCCAGCAGCCGCGGUACUACGUAGGUGGCAAGCGUUAUCCGGAUUUAUUGGGUGUAAAGGGCGUGUAGGCGGGAAUGCAAGUCAGAUGUGAAAACUAUGGGCUCAACCCAUAGCCUGCAUUUGAAACUGUAUUUCUUGAGUGCUGGAGAGGCAAUCGGAAUUCCGUGUGUAGCGGUGAAAUGCGUAGAUAUACGGAGGAACACCAGUGGCGAAGGCGGAUUGCUGGACAGUAACUGACGCUGAGGCGCGAAAGCGUGGGGAGCAAACAGGAUUAGAUACCCCAGUAGUC